rnacentral:tRNA from 1 species
UCCCUGGUGGCUCAGAUGGUAAAGCGUCUGCCUGCAAUGCAGGAUAUCUGGGUUCAAUCCCUGGGUUGGGAA